CCAGAUCACAGGCCCAGGCUCUUUGGGUCUGCAGCCUAAAACCCUGAGGGAUAAAUGCAUUUUCAUAACCUAGAGCCAAUGGGUUAUUUUCAUCCCCACCCUUAGGUCUUAGUUUAGACCAUUUGCUAUCCUCUGAAACACUCUUCCUCCCAACUAAAUGCCUCCCAUUCUUCUAGACCCAAGUUCUGGACAUGCCACCUCCAGAAUGUCAACCAUGACUAUGACUUCCAAUAACAUUCAGGUCUUCACUCUAGCGUCACCUCUGGAGAGAGGCCUUCCCUUCCCACAGCACAAAGUAGCCUGUCCAGUUGCUCUCCAUCUUAGCAGCAUGGCUUUUCAGAAAAUAUCCUUUUAUUUAUCUGUAAAUAUCUUGUUGCUUUCUUUACUUGUCUCUUUCUUUUCUAUCUCCUCAAUUAAAUGCAAGCUCCUUGAGGGCAGGAGCUUACUAUCUGUCUUGUUCACUACUGUAACCCCAGUGCCUAAGAACCUACCUGUCCUACUGAUGGCCGGGGACACAGAAGCCAUAAAAAGCAAGGGAUUUACCCAAGGUUACACAGCAAGUAAGUGUCAGAGGUUGGCCUAGCACCCAGGUCCCUGCACUGCAGCCCAGGGCACUUGGCCUGUCCCUACACCUGCCCUGGUUGACCCUCUGUUGGCCUAUCUCAUCCUUGCCUCCACGUGACAGUGGGGGCCAGAGCCCACAAAUCCUUGACUACAGCGCUCUUCUUCUUCCCCAGGGGCCCAUGGUGCCCUGACCUGGGCAGCCCUGCCUGCUUCCCCCUCAGUCCCUCCCAUCCUGGCAUCAGCAGCUCUGAUGAGCUCAUGUCUGAAAGCCUGGAAGCUGCCCUGCGGGAAAAGGUGCCUCCCAGGCCAGACCCCUAGGCCUAGAGGUGUGUUCGGCCUUCUAAGAGAGCAGCCCUGGCAGGUGGAAGAGGGUGCGGACCCCUGCCCAGCCUGCCUCCUGGAGCUGUGAAGUGGGCUCACAGGGAGACACGAGUCGGCCUCCACAGAGUGGGGAGGAGGUAGAAAGAAGGCUCCUGUGCUUUUCCCAGCCCUCCAGAGGCCCCUCUGCCACUUGGCACCCCCCCCCCCACUAAUCAAGGAGAUGCUGUGUCCCAAGGAAAGGGGGAUCUGCUGCCUUCUAUCACAGAAUCACCCUCGGCAAAUAUCUUCCCCUCCCCAGCCUCAGUCUCCUCAACUCUAAAACGGGGAGAUCAGAGAUAAUGCUAACUGAAGAGGCUAGGGGAUUAGCUGGGAACCAGGCACCUAAAUGCCACAAGAGUGCCUGGUUUUUUCACCUUAGGGGAAGAGCAACAGCUAGCAAGGGAGGAACACAGUUAAAGGCCUUUAACCAUGUAAAUGCUGAUUCCAACCACAGCGUGGUUUAGGUGCUAGUUUGGGAGGUGAGGGGGAGCUAGGCCAUGGCCAGAGAAGUGGGGGCCAGUGUGAAAGGCAGCAACUGGGAGCCAGGGUGGCACAGCAGCUAACAGUUUGCCUUUGGGAAGUUGUCUGGAUAUCAAACUAGAGUGAUCCUAGUCCAUCCUCCUUGUUGUGUGACUGGGGAAACUGGCGAGCAGAGAGGAGGGCCCGCCAGGAACCAAACACCUGGACACAGCGGCAGGGCGUUUCCAGCUGCAACCGGGGGGCCCAGUCCCCUGCGUGAGCUGACACAGCAAGUCGUGGGUGGAGGUCAUCAGUUUGUUUGUGACUCUGCCCCAAACACAGGAUGUGGGCCAGGCCUGGGGCUGGUGAUGGGCAGGCACCAGCAAGGCCUCCGGGCCCUCAGGCCAUGUCCCCUAGUCCUCUCAUCAGCAUCCCAUCUUACUGUGUGUCUUGCCACACAUGUCACAGGGGUGGGGCACCCUCCAACGGCCCCCACAGCCACCACCAGAGGGGCUGUCUCCAAUGCACUGUCCACUCAGGGGUCACCCUCCCCACCCUCUCACUGGGGGCCAGAGAGAGCAAGGGGCGUGUCCCAAGAUCACACAGCAAGUUGGUUUAUACCAGGGCCACCUGACACUUAGGAAAGGGUGGGGAGUGGGACUCGUACUUCCCUACUCACUCUUGUCCCCUGUGGACUACCCAGACAUGCAACACAGAGGGUCCCUGUCCUGAUCCAGAAUGAGCCCGUGAUUUGGGGAGGGAAGUGGGGUGGAAAGAUCUUUUCCCCAGAGUUCUCAAAGAGGUGUUGUCAGGGCGGAGCCCCUGAUUCCAGUGUAGUGAUUAGCAGGGAGCCCCACCCUCCACUCCCUUCACUUCCAGGGCCCCGUUCUCACCCUGACAAAUGGGGCAAUAGUAGGGAUGUUGUGAGAAUUUGAUACGGAGCCCUCAGGACAGCUUCUGCGCUCCCCCGUAAGCGCUCAGGAAAGGCCUCGAUUUCCCCAGGUGGGGCUUGGACUUCGGGGUCCCGUCUGCCUCGACUAGCAGACCAGGCGCCGCCCGCCCCGCCCGCAGGAAAGGGGUGCGCGGGGCCAGCACACGCCGUUCCGCUGCCCCACCGGCGCCCAUGUUGGUGAGCCCGUUAGAGCCCAACCCGCAGAUUUCUGGAGCCAAGCGUUCCCACCUUCCCCGGAGCUGAGCUGCGGGGCUCGGAUGUCGUCCGGCCAUUGCGCACCCGUGAGCCCAGGCCGCCCCGGCCCCUGGUCUGCUUGCGGGCUGGGGCUCUAGCCCUGGAGCCCCCACGCAGCCCUGGAGAGUGCCUUCCCAGCGUCGGGGUAUCCUCCAGCUCCUGGGCUGCUGGAGAGCUUCGGAAUUCCUGGCACACACACACCGAGACUUCCCCCACCCCCUCCCACGGUACAGAUGGGGAAACUAAGGCCCAGAACGUAGCAGCGACUUGGCCAAGGUCACCCUGCGUGGGAGGACCAGAGCCCAGAUGUGCCAUCACCGCCUGGGCGGCGCCGGGAACAGCACAGAUCAGACCCGGAUGCCUACCCUCUCAGGCUCAUCUCCCCCUCUUCUCAGCCCCAGAGACUGUGUAGUAACUGCCUACCUGGGUAGGACUUAGGCAAAUGGGAACUGAGGUGGAACUGUACUUGUGUAUGCAAAUCUGACAUGUGUCCACAUGUGAAAAUUAGGCCUGAAGAUCAGAAGCCUUUUCCUUGGCCCGGUGACCACUGUCAGCUCCUACCAUGGGCAGGGAUUCCUCUGCCUCAGUAAGACAGACAUAGCCAGGGCAGUGCAUCUGACACCUCAAAUCCCCACCCACAUCCCCACCCUUCAGGCUCAGAGCAGUGUCCACUAGAGUGGGCCUCCAAGACCUCUAGAUACCCCAGACCCCCAAUAACCAAUGAUUCAGAGAGCAGGAUGGUAGCUGUCUCAAAGCCACGGGCAAAGGAGGAGCUAGAUCAGCAGUGGGUCUCAGGUCUCCCUGAGUGUAUUCAAGGAGAAGGGAUUAUGGCUUGGCAGAAUCUACACCCCCCACGCACACACCUGGGCCCUGCCAUCCAUAACCUUAAAAACCUUUUUCCAGCCCCAGGUGGGUGGAAGAACACAGACUGCUGCCUUGUCUCCAUGGAGACAAGGCAGCACAGAGGGUGGUUGAAAGCAUGGGCCCAGACCUCCUGGGGUUCUAAUCUCAGCUACUCCACUGGCAGGUCUGAGACUUUGACAAGUCAGUUAAACUCUUUAUGCCUUAGUUUCCUCAUCUAUGAAACAGAAAUAAGAAAAGUACGGACUUCAUAGGGUUAUUUAGAAGAUGAAAUGAAGUCCACCAUACAAAGCGUUUAACACAGUGCCUGGCAGCUAAACUGGGAGACAGAAGCUCCAGGUUCUUAUUCGAGCUUUGCCGACAAGUUACUGUGUGACCCUGGACAAGUCACUUGCCAUCUCUGAGCUUCAGAGUCUCCACAAGGCUAUCUAUAUCUUAUCUACAUCAGUGAGUCCUGCCAGUUGUGAGAAGCUGAGACUUUGUGGAGAGCCCCACAGGACACUUUCUUUACCACAUACAUUCGUCCGGGUUGGUAGCAGCUGAUGGCAGGAAACUUGAGCUGCAGGCUUCUGCCCACCUCAUCUUCCUGCACUCCUUGUUCCCCUAGCCUGCCAGCAACCCCAUUCUGCCCUGCUUAGCUGGUACUCAGGCCUUAGAGAAAUGGUACCUGUACCCAUCCAUCCCAAGUGGUGGGUGCCCAAGGCAGAAGAUGUCACAAGCCAUACAUAGAACUGUCAGAGAGCACCCAAGAGAAGCAGUUAUAAUUGCGGAAGGACGGGUUUAAUUGUCUGAAGAUGCUUAUAAUCCUCUGGUGGUAAUGGGAGGAAGUUAGAAAAGGAAGCUCUAAUCCACUAAUAACCUGGCAGCUUCACAGGCCUCUUCCCUCCAGAUCUCCAGGCAGAGAGGAGAGACUCUGACCACUCCCUUUCCCAAGGGAACAGAAAGGCCAGUGUGGGCUCUGACCCAAGACCUCCCAGACUUCUACUCUGCAAGACCCAGCUUCCUUCCUACCUCCGCCUCCGAGAAGUCUUCCCUGCCUAUUCCUUAAGCCUGAGGUUACUCUUGUCUCCUCUGCCCUAAAAGUGUCAGGACAGAACUGGAUGACCAUCUGGUUGGAUGUUAAUUAAAAAGAGGAAUGAGCCAGACUGUGAAGCAAGAAGAGCAUGAUCACAGUCUCAGCUCUAAUACUGACUGUGUGGCCUUGGGCAAGGUGCUUAGGUCUCUGUGCCUCAGUUACAUCACCUGUAAAGUGGGGAGAACAAAACCUGCCUUGAAAGGUUCCAGUAAGAUCCACGAGGAUGAGAUGCCAUGAAAUACCUGGCUCCAUGUGAAAAGACACUAGGACUCAUUAGAGGUGGUCCCUUCUUCUCCCCUCUCCACACAUGGUCUCUCCUACUCCAGAGUGUCAGCACGUGACAUUCUGCCUUUUAUAAAGUAUACAGAAUACACUGGUGGCUAAGAGCAAGGCUCCAUGUUAAAAAAACUGAUUGAAUCAUGGUGUAACAGCUUGCUAACCAUGAUUCUUGGACCAGUCACUUAAUGUUCCUUGGGCCUCAAUCUGUAGAAUGGAUAUAAGAGCAAUAUAUCCCUCAAGGGGAUUUUUAUGAGAUUAAAUAAAAUGAUAUGUGUAAAGAUCUUAGCUUGUGAGCUUGGCCCAUGAGGGCUUAACAAGUAAUAGCUAUUGUAUUAUUAAAUUGAUGACGAUCAUUUUAAUUAUGAUCACCAUCCUUCAAGUGCUUGUCUAGAUUACUCUAAAAUUUCCAAAAGACUGUUCCAUCUAAGUUCAUUGCAACCACGCAAGAGCUCUAUGAGGUACUCAGGGCUCAUAUUUUUAUUUGACUUUCAGGUCCUGGGCUCAGGUUCUUGGGGACCUGGAUUUGGGUUGACUGGUGCGAGGGCCCACCUCUAAGCUCAAAGCUGCUGAGCCUUCCUGGGAUACUCCUUCUUCUUGCCCCAGAUGCCCUGAAAGCCCCUCCUUGGUCCUGCCCAGCUUCCGGUGUGACCCAAGCAUCAGGGGGAUUGGUAUUAUGGGGGGUGGUCAGAGCCUCGAAUAAUUUUAGAAAAGAGAGUGGAUGGGAUGGCUGCUGAGAUGUCAGCCAGGACAUCAGAGAUGGCUGCAGAGAAAUGAAGAGUCCCUUCAGUUUCCUGAUGCACAAGCCUUCCCAGGCCUGUGUCCCCCGCGUGCCCUGAGCCCCCAGGAUCUGCUGGCAGCAGCUCCUGCGUGAGUGAGCAUGGCCUGGCUCUCGUCCGCCCCAUCUGGACCCACUUGAGCAUUUCCAGGGGCCUGGCGUUGGAGGU